UCCCCGUUGGCGCAGUCGGUUAGCGCGUGGUACUUAUAAACAAAUGAGCGAUGCCAAGGUCACGAGUUCGAGCCUCGUACGGGGAA
rnacentral:tRNA from 1 species